rnacentral:ncRNA from 1 species
GGCCGGAUAAGGCGUUUACGCCGCAUCCGGCAAUUGUAUCGCCUGAUGCUGAUCGCCGGAUGCGACGCUAACGCGUCUUAUCAGGCC